rnacentral:rRNA from 1 species
CCUACGGGAGGCAGCAGUGGGGAAUAUUGCGCAAUGGGCGAAAGCCUGACGCAGCGACGCCGCGUGAGGGAUGAAGGUCUUCGGAUCGUAAACCUCUGUCAGCAGGGAAGAACGGUCACUGUGCUAAUCAGCAGUGAAUUGACGGUACCUGCAAAGGAAGCACCGGCUAACUCCGUGCCAGCAGCUGCGGUAAUACGGAGGGUGCGAGCGUUAAUCGGAAUUACUGGGCGUAAAGCGCUCGUAGGCGGUAUGUCAAGUCAAGGGUGAAAUCCCCGCGCUCAACGUGGGAACUGCCUUUGAAACUGGCAAACUGGAGUGUGUGAGAGGAUAGUGGAAUUCCAGGUGUAGGAGUGAAAUGCGUAGAUAUCUGGAGGAACAUCAGUGGCGAAGGCGACUAUCUGGCACAUAACUGACGCUGAGGAGCGAAAGCGUGGGUAGCAAACAGGAUUAGAUACCCUUGUAGUC